UACGUAGGGGGCAAGCGUUGUCCGGAAUCAUUGGGCGUAAAGAGCGUGUAGGCGGCUUGGCAAGUCUGGUGUGAAAUCUUGCGGCUCAACCGCAAGCGGUCACUGGAAACUGCCUCGCUAGAGUCCGGAAGAGGAGAGCGGAAUUCCUGGUGUAGCGGUGGAAUGCGCAGAUAUCAGGAAGAACACCCGUGGCGAAGGCGGCUCUCGUGGGACGGUACUGACGCUGAGACGCGAAAGCGUGGGGAGCGAACAGG
rnacentral:rRNA from 1 species